rnacentral:rRNA from 1 species
AGGACGAACGCUGGCGGCGCGCCUAACACAUGCAAGUCGAACGAGCGAGAGAGAGCUUGCUUUCUCAAGCGAGUGGCGAACGGGUGAGUAACGCGUGAGGAACCUGCCUCAAAGAGGGGGACAACAGUUGGAAACGACUGCUAAUACCGCAUAAGCCCACAGCUCGGCAUCGAGCGGAGGGAAAAGGAGCAAUCCGCUUUGAGAUGGCCUCGCGUCCGAUUAGCUAGUUGGUGAGGUAACGGCCCACCAAGGCAACGAUCGGUAGCCGGACUGAGAGGUUGAACGGCCACAUUGGGACUGAGACACGGCCCAGACUCCUACGGGAGGCAGCAGUGGGGAAUAUUGCACAAUGGGGGAAACCCUGAUGCAGCGACGCCGCGUGGAGGAAGAAGGUCUUCGGAUUGUAAACUCCUGUUGUUGAGGAAGAUAAUGACGGUACUCAACAAGGAAGUGACGGCUAACUACGUG